GUGACUGCGUACCUUUUGUAUAAUGGGUCAGCGACUUAUAUUCUGUAGCAAGGUUAACCGAAUAGGGGAGCCGAAGGGAAACCGAGUCUUAACUGGGCGUUAAGUUGCAGGGUAUAGACCCGAAACCCGGUGAUCUAGCCAUGGGCAGGUUGAAGGUUGGGUAACACUAACUGGAGGACCGAACCGACUAAUGUUGAAAAAUUAGCGGAUGACUUGUGGCUGGGGGUGAAAGGCCAAUCAAACCGGGAGAUAGCUGGUUCUCCCCGAAAGCUAUUUAGGUAGCGCCUCGUGAAUUCAUCUCCGGGGGUAGAGCACUGUUUCGGCAAGGGGGUCAUCCCGACUUACCAACCCGAUGCAAACUGCGAAUACCGGAGAAUGUUAUCACGGGAGACACACGGCGGGUGCUAACGUCCGUCGUGAAGAGGGAAACAACCCAGACCGCCAGCUAAGGUCCCAAAGUCAUGGUUAAGUGGGAAACGAUGUGGGAAGGCCCAGACAGCCAGGAUGUUGGCUUAGAAGCAGCCAUCAUUUAAAGAAAGCGUAAUAGCUCACUGGUCGAGUCGGCCUGCGCGGAAGAUGUAACGGGGCUAAACCAUGCACCGAAGCUGCGGCAGCGACGCUGAUGCGUUGUUGGGUAGGGGAGCGUUCUGUAAGCCUGCGAAGGUGUGCUGUGAGGCAUGCUGGAGGUAUCAGAAGUGCGAAUGCUGACAUAAGUAACGAUAAAGCGGGUGAAAAGCCCGCUCGCCGGAAGACCAAGGGUUCCUGUCCAACGUUAAUCGGGGCAGGGUGAGUCGACCCCUAAGGCGAGGCCGAAAGGCGUAGUCGAUGGGAAACAGGUUAAUAUUCCUGUACUUGGUGUUACUGCGAAGGGGGGACGGAGAAGGCUAUGUUGGCCGGGCGACGGUUGUCCCGGUUUAAGCGUGUAGGCUGGUUUUCCAGGCAAAUCCGGAAAA
rnacentral:rRNA from 1 species